rnacentral:rRNA from 1 species
AGUGGAUGGGGAGCAACCUAGUUGUGCGUGUGUAAAGGUAGUGCCAAGAAAAGCGAUGAUCAUGUUGAAAAUCAAUUCCCGGUACCCGAAACCGACACAGGUGGGCAGGUAGAGAAUACUAAGGGGCGCGAGGUAACUCUCUCCAAGGAACUCGGCAAAAUGACCCCGUAACUUAGGGAGAAGGGGUGCCACCGAGAGGUGGUCGCAGUGAAGAGGCCCAGGCGACUGUUUAGCAAAAACAUAGGUCUCUGCAAACUCGAAAGAGGAGGUAUAGGGGCUGACGCCUGCCCAGUGCCGGAAGGUUAAAGAAGUUGGUCAGUCUUAGGAUGAAGCUAGCGACUGAAGCCCCGGUGAACGGCGGCCGUAACUAAACGGUCCUAAGGUAGCGAAAUUCCUUGUCGGGCAAGUUCCGACCCGCACGAAAGGCGUAACGAUCUGGGCGCUGUCUCGGAGAGAGGCUCGGCGAAAUAGGAUUGUCUGUGAAGAUACGGACUACCUGCAUUUGGACAGAAAGACCCUAUGAAGCUUUACUAUAGCUUGGAAUUGUGUUCGGGCUUCCUGUGCGCAGGAUAGGUGGGAGGCGUAGAAGGUAUUCUUGUGGGGAUACUGGAGCCAACGGUGAGAUACCACUCUCAGGAGGCUAGAAUUCUAACUUAAUUAAGGACAGUUUCAGGUGGGUAGUUUGACUGGGGCGGUCGCCUCCAAAAAGGUAACGGAGCCGUACAAAGGUUCCCUCAGACUGGUUGGAAAUCAGUCGAAGAGUGCAAAGGCAGAAGGGAGCUUGACUGCGAGAAGUACAGUUCGAGCAGGGUGGAAACACGGUCUUAGUGAUCCGACGGUGCUGUGUGGAAGGGCCGUCGCUCAGCGGAUAAAAGUUACUCUAGGAUAACAGGCUGAUCUCCCCCAAGAGUUCACAUCGACGGGGAGGUUUGGCACCUCGAUGUCGGCUCAUCGCAACCUGGGGCGGAAGUACGUCCCAAGGGUUGGGCUGUUCGCCCAUUAAAGCGGUACGUGAGCUGGGUUCAGAACGUCGUGAGACAGUUCGGUCCAUAUCCGAUGUAGGCGUGAGAAUAUUGAGAGGAGCCUUCCUUAGUACGAGAGGACCGGGAAGGACGCACCGCUGGUGUACCUGUUAUGAUGCCAAUUGUAAACGCAGGGUAGCCAAGUGCGGAGAGGAUAACCGCUGAAAGCAUCUAAGUGGGAAGCCCACCUCAAGAUGAGUAUUCUGGUGUAAGGUCACGGGAAGACGACCCGUAAAUAGGCACGAGGUGGAAGUGCAGAGAUGUAUGAAGCCGAAGUGUACUAAUAGACCGUCGGCUUGACC